GAGACCACUUGUUCCCAAAGUUAAAAAAUUACCUGAAGUCUUGACGAUAUAACUCUUAAUGAAAAUUUAAUUGAAAAUUGGCAAAUCAUUCAUUUAAAGUGUAACACGAAGAAUGUAAAUGUGUACGUGGAUUUAAAAUGUGCGUAUAACAAAAGUAUAAUAAUUAUAUACAAAAAUGAAUUAAUUAAAAUUAAU